GAUGUUGGCUUAGAAGCAGCCAUGCAUUUAAAGAGUGCGUAACAGCUCACUGGUCGAGUGGACAUGCGCCGACAAUUCACGGGGCUAAGCGAUGCACCGAAGCGGCGGACUGAGAAUUCAGUGGUAGGGGAGCUCUCCGCGGGGGGCGAAGCAGCAGGGCGACCUGCUGUGGACCGCGCGGAGGUGAGAAUGCUGGCAUGAGUAACGAGACCAGGGCGAGAAACCCUGGCGCCGUGAGCCUAAGGGUUCCUGGGCGAGGCUAAUCCCCCCAGGGUCAGUCGGGAGCUAAGGCGAGGCCGAGAGGCGUAGCCGAUGCGCAGCGGGCAGACAUUCCCGCACCGCCGACGGCGCGGCAUUACCGAUGGGGCGACGGAGAAGGGUAGCCGGGCGGGGUUCUGGACGUCCCCGUGAAAGCGCGUAGGGCGCGCAGCGUGGAAAUCAGCUGCGCACGGGGCCUGAGACGCGAGACGAAGCGAGCGAGCGAAGCCGGUGAGCCCAUGCUUCCGAGAAAAACCUCUAGGGAGUGCCGUCGGCGCCCGUACCAAAACCGACACAGGUGGGCGGGUAGAACAUACCGAGGCGAUCGGGAGAACCACGGUUAAGGAACUCGGCAUACUGGCCCCGUAACUUCGGGAGAAGGGGCGCCGCCGGCUGUGAACGCCCUCGCGGCGGGAGCGGCUGGCGGCCGCAGCGAAACGGCCCAAGCGACUGUUUAUCAAAAACACAGGACUCUGCAAAGCCGCAAGGCGACGUAUAGGGUCUGACGCCUGCCCGGUGCCGGAAGGUUACGCGGAUGCGUCAGCCGAAAGGCGAAGCGCUGAAGCCAAGCCCCGGUAAACGGCGGCCGUAACAAUAACGGUCCUAAGGUAGCGAAAUUCCUUGUCGGGUAAGUUCCGACCUGCACGAAUGGCGUAACGAUUUGGGCGCUGUCUCAACCGUGGACCCGGUGAAAUUGUACUGUUCGUGAAGAUGCGAACUACCCGCGGAAGGACGGAAAGACCCCGUGAACCUUUACUGCAGCUUGGCAUUGGCAUCUGGUACGGCGCGUAGAGGAUAGGCGGGAGCCUUUGAAGCGGGGGCGCAAGCCCCCGUGGAGGCGACCUUGGAAUACCGCCCUCGUCGUGCCGGCUGCCUAACGCGCGGCCGUGAUCCGGCGCGCGGACCGUGCCAGGCGGGUAGUUUGACUGGGGCGGUCGCCUCCCAAAACGUAACGGAGGCGCGCAAAGGUCCGCUCAGGACGGUCGGCAACCGUCCCGAGAGCGCAAGAGUGCAAGCGGGCUUGACUGCGAGGCAGACACGCCGAGCAGGGACGAAAGUCGGUUCUAGUGAUCCGGCGGCUCAGAGUGGAAUGGCCGUCGCUCAA
rnacentral:rRNA from 1 species